AAGACUAUAGACCUGCGGAGUACCUGCGGAAGGAUCAUUAUUGAAUUAUGUUUCUAAGUGGGUUGUAGCUGGCUCGUCAGAGCAUGUGCACGCCUGUUUGGACUUCAUUUUCAUCCACCUGUGCACCUAUUGUAGUCUUUGGUUGGGUAUCAAGGAAGUGGUCAGCCUAUCAGCACUUGCUGGAUGUGAGGACUUGCAGUGUGAAAGCUUUGCUGUCCUUUACUUGAUCAUGGAGUUGUU
rnacentral:misc_RNA from 1 species